AACGGUAACAGGAAGCAGCUUGCUGCUUUGCUGACGAGUGGCGGACGGGUGAGUAAUGUCUGGGAAACUGCCUGAUGGAGGGGGAUAACUACUGGAAACGGUAGCUAAUACCGCAUAACGUCGCAAGACCAAAGAGGGGGACCUUCGGGCCUCUUGCCAUCGGAUGUGCCCAGAUGGGAUUAGCUAGUAGGUGGGGUAACGGCUCACCUAGGCGACGAUCCCUAGCUGGUCUGAGAGGAUGACCAGCCACACUGGAACUGAGACACGGUCCAGACUCCUACGGGAGGCAGCAGUGGGGAAUAUUGCACAAUGGGCGCAAGCCUGAUGCAGCCAUGCCGCGUGUAUGAAGAAGGCCUUCGGGUUGUAAAGUACUUUCAGCGGGGAGGAAGGCGAUGAGGUUAAUAACCUUGUCGAUUGACGUUACCCGCAGAAGAAGCACCGGCUAACUCCGUGCCAGCAGCCGCGGUAAUACGGAGGGUGCAAGCGUUAAUCGGAAUUACUGGGCGUAAAGCGCACGCAGGCGGUCUGUC
rnacentral:rRNA from 1 species